GAUGAACGCUAGCGGGAGGCCUAACACAUGCAAGCCGAGCGGUAGAGAUUCUUCGGAAUCUUGAGAGCGGCGUACGGGUGCGGAACACGUGUGCAACCUACCUUUAUCUGGAGGAUAGCCUUUCGAAAGGAAGAUUAAUACUCCAUAAUAUAUUGAUUGGCAUCAAUUGAUAUUGAAAGCUCCGGCGGAUAGAGAUGGGCACGCGCAAGAUUAGUUAGUUGGUGAGGUAACGGCUCACCAAGACGAUGAUCUUUAGGGGCCUGAGAGGGUGAUCCCCCACACUGGUACUGAGACACGGACCAGACUCCUACGGGAGGCAGCAGUGAGGAAUAUUGGGUCAACGGGUGCAAGCCUGAACCAGCCAAUCCCCGCGUGAAGGACGACUGCCCUA
rnacentral:rRNA from 1 species